UACGUAGGGGGCGAGCGUUAUCCGGAAUCACUGGGCGUAAAGGGUGCGUAGGCGGCCGAUAAAGUCAGGGGUGAAAGGCUACGGCUUAACCGUAGUAAGCCUUUGAAACUUAUGGGCUUGAGUGCAGGAGAGGAGAGUGGAAUUCCUAGUGUAGCGGUGAAAUGCGUAGAUAUUAGGAGGAACACCAGUGGCGAAGGCGACUCUCUGGACUGUAACUGACGCUGAGGCACGAAAGCGUGGGGAGCGAACA
rnacentral:rRNA from 1 species